rnacentral:rRNA from 1 species
UACGGAGGGUGCGAGCGUUGUCCGGAAUCAUUGGGCGUAAAGGGCGCGUAGGUGGCCCGGUCAGUUCGUGGUGAAAGCGCGGGGCUCAACCCUGCGUCGGCCAUGAAUACUGCCGCGGCUGGAGCACUGUAGAGGCAGGCGGAAUUCCGGGUGUAGCGGUGAAAUGCGUAGAUAUCGGGAGGAACACCUGUGGCGAAAGCGGCGCACUGGACCACAUCUGACGCUGAGGCGCGAAAGCUAGGGGAGCAAACAGG